rnacentral:tRNA from 1 species
GGUGGCUCAGUGGUAGAGUGCUUGCAUUGCAUGCAUGAGGACCUGGGUUCGAUUCCCCAGCACCA